UACGGGAGGCAGCAGUGGGGAAUUUUCCGCAAUGGGCGAAAGCCUGACGGAGCAAUACCGCGUGAGGGACGAAGGCCUGUGGGUUGUAAACCUCUUUUGUUAGGGAAGAUAAUGACGGUACCUAACGAAUAAGCAUCGGCUAACUCCGUGCCAGCAGCCGCGGUAAGACGGAGGAUGCAAGCGUUAUCCGGAAUUAUUGGGCGUAAAGCGUACGUAGGCUGUUUCAUAAGUCUGUUGUCAAAGCCCGAGGCUCAACCUUGGAUCGGCAAUGGAAACUGUGAGACUAGAGAGAGAUAGGGGCAGGAGGAAUUCCAGGUGUAGCGGUGAAAUGCGUAGAUAUCUGGAAGAACACCAGUGGCGAAAGCGUCCUGCUGGAUCUCAACUGACGCUGAAGUACGAAAGCUAGGGGAGCGAAUGGGAUUAGAUACCCCAGUAGUCCUAGCCGUAAACGAUGGGUACUAGGUGUUGGUCGUAUCGACCCGAUCAGUGCCGUAGCUAACGCGUUAAGUACCCCGCCUGGGGAGUACGGUCGCAAGAUUGAAACUCAAAGGAAUUGACGGGGA
rnacentral:rRNA from 1 species